rfam:Neotoma lepida isolate 417 scaffold_58, whole genome shotgun sequence.
GGAGGGNUGGCUCAGNGGUUAAGAGCACUGACUGCUCUCUCAGAGGACCUGGGUUCAAUUCCCAGCACCUAUU